rnacentral:rRNA from 1 species
AGCCCAGAGCCUGAAUCAGUGUGUGUGUUAGUGGAAGCGUCUGGAAAGGCGCGCGAUACAGGGUGACAGCCCCGUACACAAAAAUGCACAUGCUGUGAGCUCGAUGAGUAGGGCGGGACACGUGGUAUCCUGUCUGAAUAUGGGGGGACCAUCCUCCAAGGCUAAAUACUCCUGACUGACCGAUAGUGAACCAGUACCGUGAGGGAAAGGCGAAAAGAACCCCGGCGAGGGGAGUGAAAAAGAACCUGAAACCGUGUACGUACAAGCAGUGGGAGCACGCUUAGGCGUGUGACUGCGUACCUUUUGUAUAAUGGGUCAGCGACUUAUAUUCUGUAGCAAGGUUAACCGAAUAGGGGAGCCGAAGGGAAACCGAGUCUUAACUGGGCGUUAAGUUGCAGGGUAUAGACCCGAAACCCGGUGAUCUAGCCAUGGGCAGGUUGAAGGUUGGGUAACACUAACUGGAGGACCGAACCGACUAAUGUUGAAAAAUUAGCGGAUGACUUGUGGCUGGGGGUGAAAGGCCAAUCAAACCGGGAGAUAGCUGGUUCUCCCCGAAAGCUAUUUAGGUAGCGCCUCGUGAAUUCAUCUCCGGGGGUAGAGCACUGUUUCGGCAAGGGGGUCAUCCCGACUUACCAACCCGAUGCAAACUGCGAAUACCGGAGAAUGUUAUCACGGGAGACACACGGCGGGUGCUAACGUCCGUCGUGAAGAGGGAAACAACCCAGACCGCCAGCUAAGGUCCCAAAGUCAUGGUUAAGUGGGAAACGAUGUGGGAAGGCCCAGACAGCCAGGAUGUUGGCUUAGAAGCAGCCAUCAUUUAAAGAAAGCGUAAUAGCUCACUGGUCGAGUCGGCCUGCGCGGAAGAUGUAACGGGGCUAAACCAUGCACCGAAGCUGCGGCAGCGACACUAUGUGUUGUUGGGUAGGGGAGCGUUCUGUAAGCCUGCGAAGGUGUGCUGUGAGGCAUGCUGGAGGUAUCAGAAGUGCGAAUGCUGACAUAAGUAACGAUAAAGCGGGUGAAAAGCCCGCUCGCCGGAAGACCAAGGGUUCCUGUCCAACGUUAAUCGGGGCAGGGUGAGUCGACCCCUAAGGCGAGGCCGAAAGGCGUAGUCGAUGGGAAACAGGUUAAUAUUCCUGUACUUGGUGUUACUGCGAAGGGGGGACGGAGAAGGCUAUGUUGGCCGGGCGACGGUUGUCCCGGUUUAAGCGUGUAGGCUGGUUUUCCAGGCAAAUCCGGAAAAUCAAGGCUGAGGCGUGAUGACGAGGCACUACGGUGCUGAAGCAACAAAUGCCCUGCUUCCAGGAAAAGCCUCUAAGCAUCAGGUAACAUCAAAUCGUACCCCAAACCGACACAGGUGGUCAGGUAGAGAAUACCAAGGCGCUUGAGAGAACUCGGGUGAAGGAACUAGGCAAAAUGGUGCCGUAACUUCGGGAGAAGGCACGCUGAUAUGUAGGUGAAGUCCCUCGCGGAUGGAGCUGAAAUCAGUCGAAGAUACCAGCUGGCUGCAACUGUUUAUUAAAAACACAGCACUGUGCAAACACGAAAGUGGACGUAUACGGUGUGACGCCUGCCCGGUGCCGGAAGGUUAAUUGAUGGGGUCAGCGCAAGCGAAGCUCUUGAUCGAAGCCCCGGUAAACGGCGGCCGUAACUAUAACGGUCCUAAGGUAGCGAAAUUCCUUGUCGGGUAAGUUCCGACCUGCACGAAUGGCGUAAUGAUGGCCAGGCUGUCUCCACCCGAGACUCAGUGAAAUUGAACUCGCUGUGAAGAUGCAGUGUACCCGCGGCAAGACGGAAAGACCCCGUGAACCUUUACUAUAGCUUGACACUGAACAUUGAGCCUUGAUGUGUAGGAUAGGUGGGAGGCUUUGAAGUGUGGACGCCAGUCUGCAUGGAGCCGACCUUGAAAUACCACCCUUUAAUGUUUGAUGUUCUAACGUUGACCCGUGAUCCGGGUUGCGGACAGUGUCUGGUGGGUAGUUUGACUGGGGCGGUCUCCUCCUAAAGAGUAACGGAGGAGCACGAAGGUUGGCUAAUCCUGGUCGGACAUCAGGAGGUUAGUGCAAUGGCAUAAGCCAGCUUGACUGCGAGCGUGACGGCGCGAGCAGGUGCGAAAGCAGGUCAUAGUGAUCCGGUGGUUCUGAAUGGAAGGGCCAUCGCUCAACGGAUAAAAGGUACUCCGGGGAUAACAGGCUGAUACCGCCCAAGAGUUCAUAUCGACGGCGGUGUUUGGCACCUCGAUGUCGGCUCAUCACAUCCUGGGGCUGAAGUAGGUCCCAAGGGUAUGGCUGUUCGCCAUUUAAAGUGGUACGCGAGCUGGGUUUAGAACGUCGUGAGACAGUUCGGUCCCUAUCUGCCGUGGGCGCUGGAGAACUGAGGGGGGCUGCUCCUAGUACGAGAGGACCGGAGUGGACGCAUCACUGGUGUUCGGGUUGUCAUGCCAAUGGCACUGCCCGGUAGCUAAAUGCGGAAGAGAUAAGUGCUGAAAGCAUCUAAGCACGAAACUUGCCCCGAGAUGAGUUCUCCCUGACUCCUUGAGAGUCCUGAAGGAACGUUGAAGACGACGACGUUGAUAGGCCGGGUGUGUAAGCGCAGCGAUGCGUUGAGCUAACCGGUACUAAUGAACCGUGAGG